CCUACACGACCGUACCGCAAACCGACACUGGUGCGCGAGAUGAGUAUUCUAAGGCGCUUGAGAGAACUCAGGAGAAGGAACUCGGCAAAUUGACACCGUAACUUCGGAAGAAGGUGUGCCUCUAGUAGGUGAAGGGAUUUACUCCCCUAGCCCAAUGAGGUUGCAAAAAAUCGGUGGCUGCGACUGUUUAAUAAAAACACAGCACUCUGCAAACACGAAAGUGGACGUAUAGGGUGUGACGCCUGCCCGGUGCUGGAAGAUUAAAUGAUGGGGUGCAAGCUCUUGAUUGAAGUCCCAGUAAGCGGCGGCCGUAACAAUAACGGUCCUAAGGUAGCGAAAUUCCUUGUCGGGUAAGUUCCGACCUGCACGAAUGGCGUAACGAUGGCCACGCUGUCUCCUCCUGAGACUCAGCGAAGUUGAAAUGUUUGUGAUGAUGCAAUCUCCCCGCGGAAAGACGGAAAGACCCCAUGAACCUUUACUGUAGCUUUGUAUUGGACUUUGAACAGAUCUGUGUAGGAUAGGUGGGAGGCUUUGAAGCAGGGUCGCUAGAUCUUGUGGAGCCAACGUUGAAAUACCACCCUGGUGUGUUUGAGGUUCUAACCUAGGCCCGUUAUCUGGGCUGGGGACAGUGCAUGGUAGGCAGUUUGACUGGGGCGGUCUCCUCCCAAAGCGUAACGGAGGAGUUCGAAGGUACGCUAGUUACGGUCGGACAUCGUGACGAUAGUGCAAUGGCAUAAGCGUGCUUAACUGCGAGACUGACAAGUCGAGCAGAUGCGAAAGCAGGACAUAGUGAUCCGGUGGUUCUGUAUGGAAGGGCCAUCGCUCAACGGAUAAAAGGUACUCUGGGGAUAACAGGCUGAUACCGCCCAAGAGUUCAUAUCGACGGCGGUGUUUGGCACCUCGAUGUCGGCUCAUCUCAUCCUGGGGCUGUAGCCGGUCCCAAGGGUAUGGCGGUUCGCCAUUUAAAGAGGUACGUGAGCUGGGUUUAAAACGUCGUGAGACAGUUUGGUCCCUAUCUUCCGUGGGCGCUGCAGAUUUGAGGAAGCCUGCUCCUAGUACGAGAGGACCGGAGUGGACACACCUCUGGUGUAUCGGUUGUCACGCCAGUGGCAUUGCCGAGUAGCUAAGUGUGGAAGAGAUAACCGCUGAAAGCAUCUAAGCGGGAAACUCGUUUCAAGAUGAGAUCUGCCGGGGCCUUGAGCCCCCUGAAGAGUCGUUCAAGACCAGGACGUUGAUAGGUCAGGUGUGGAAGCGCAGUAAUGCGUUAAGCUAACUGAUACUAAUUGCUCGUGCGGCUUGAUC
rnacentral:rRNA from 1 species